ACGGCGUGCCUUUUGCAUAAUGAGCCUACGAGUUAGUCAUCACCAGCGAGGUUAAGUACUUCAGGUACGUAAGCCGAAGCGAAAGCGAGUCUUAAUAGGGCGCUAAGUUGGUGGUGCUAGACGCGAAACCUUAGUGAUCUACCCAUGAGCAGGCUGAAGGUUUGGUAACACAAACUGGAGGGCCGAACCGAUAUACGUUGAAAAGUGUCCGGAUGACUUGUGGGUAGGGGUGAAAGGCCAAUCAAACUGGGAAAUAGCUCGUACUCUCCGAAAUGCAUUUAGGUGCAGCCUCAUAUGUUUUGUUCCAGAGGUAGAGCUACUGAUUGGAUGCGAGGGCUUCACCGCCUAUCAAAUCCGGAUAAACUCCGAAUGCUGGAACAUAAAAUAUGGGAGUGAGCCUGCGGGUGCUAAGGUCCGUAGACGAAAGGGAAAGAACCCAGACCAUCAGCUAAGGUCCCCAAUUAUAUGCUAAGUUGAUCAAACGCGGUGGAACUGCUUGGACAGCUAGGAUGUUGGCUUGGAAGCAGCCAUUCAUUUAAAGAGUGCGUAACAGCUCACUAGUCGAGCGGUUCUGCAUGGAUAAUACACGGGCAUAAGCAUAUAACCGAAGCUAUGGGAUCGUUGAACAAACGAUCGGUAGGAGAGCAUUCCAUUCAGUGUCGAAGGUGUGUCGUAAGGCAUGCUGGAACGUAUGGAAAAGCAAAUGUAGGCAUAAGUAACGAUAAUGCGGGUGAGAACCCCGCACGCCGUAAGGUCAAGGAUUCCCCGGCAAUGUCAAUCAUCCGGGGGUUAGUCGGACCCUAAGGGCCAGCCGAAGGGCGACCCCGAUGGCAAACAGGUUAAUAUUCCUGUACUGAUCUGUACUGCGAUGCAGGGACGGAGAGGUGAAACUGCUGCGAACUGACGGAAUAGUUCGUUGAAGUCUGUAUCCUAUGACUGGUAUAGUUAAGUACGUACUGGGAGGUGAACGACGAUAGUACCGCAACACUUCGGUAGCGCGGAUAAUGCAGGUAAACUGACUUCCAAGAAAAGCUGCUAAGCUUCAGGUACCGAUCAUCCGUACUGUAAACGGACACACGUGACCGAGUAGAGAAUACUAAGGCGCUCGAGAGAUUCAUGGUUAAGGAACUAGGCAAAAUAGUCCUGUAACUUCGGGAUAAAGGACGCUCACGUGAGUGAGCCGCAGAGAAUUGGUCCAGGCGACUGUUUACCAAAAACACAUGGCUAUGCUAAUUCGCAAGAAGAUGUAUAUGGCCUGACACCUGCCCGGUGCCGGAAGGUUAAGAGGAGAGCUCAGAGGUAACUCGAAGGUUUGAAUUGAAGCCCCGGUAAACGGCGGCCGUAACUAUAACGGUCCUAAGGUAGCGAAAUUCCUUGUCGGGU
rnacentral:rRNA from 1 species